AAAGACAGACCUAAUUUUUUAGUUGUUGAUGAAUAUAAUAUUUACAGGUAGGUAAACUGUAGCCCAUUAAACGAUAUUACUUGUCAGAGAUGGCUCCAAGAUGAUUCUCUGUAGCUUAAAAGAAUUUUUGAGUUUAUUGAAGUCCACAUAGUAGAGAAAACAAUAGAUUCAAACCUUUAUGAAACAAAACUUUAUGAAACGGCUUUGGGUUAAAAGCAUGAACAUUCUUUAGUUUGACUGCAAACCCUGAGAGGUGUGCUUCUUUCCUCUAUCCAGGAGACUGGGUGUAUAUACACUGAGUGUAACGAGAAGCAUUUUGAGUCUAUAUUUAAAAGACAGGCACAGACAUCUACCGCAUCUUCACGAUCAGACUCUGUCUUCUUCCACAGGAAGAUUGUAGCACCUAUGUGACGUCUGCUUUCUCCAUUUUGUGCUUUAUGCAACAUGAGCAGUUCCUGGGAGACUCACUGCCUUGUUCCCCAAAGCUAAAUGCUGAGAACCAGAAUUACUCCAGGAAAAGAUACUACUUCUGAUGCAAGUUCUAAUCCCAUACCCCGAAGACGGCUACACAGAGUAAGUGAGCAUGUUUGUGUGUGUGUCCGUGUGUGUGUGUGUUCUUUGUGAGUGUGCAUACAUAUCAAAUUCGGGUCCUGUACCUCAGGCACUGUCCAACUGGUUUUUGUUUAUUUGUUUUCAAUAUUUUGAAAGACUUAUUUAGUUUUCUGUUUUUCAUUUUUAUGUGUGGGGUGAAUAAAUGUUAUAUGUGCAGGUGGCCACAGAGGUCAGAAGGGGGCGUUGGAUGCUCUGAGCUAGGGUUCUAUGCAACUGUGAGCUGCCUGACAUGAGUGCUGAACUCUGGUCCUUUUCAAGAGCAAGCAGUGUUCAUAACUGCUAAGCCAUUUCUGCCUCUCAGUAGCCUGGAAUUCAUUAAGCAGGCUAGACUGGCUGGGCAAGUGAUCUGCUCUGCCUGUCUUCAUUUCCCCAGCAUGAGAAUUACAAGCUUGUGUCACCGUGCUGUGGUUGUGUUUAUGUAGAUUCUGGAAUCCAAGUCAGGUCUCCGUCCUUGCAAGGGAGGCAUUGCUGAUCCCCCAUUUGACAGAAUGCUCCCCCAGUCUUCUGCUUAAAGAAGAUAACAUGGAAAAUGAGCUCUGGGUAUUAUUUGCUUUGUUCUUAGUCACCGUUCUGUUGAUGUGAUUAAAACAUCAUGACAAAAGCAACUUUCAAAAGGAAGGGCUUACUGUGGGUUGGGUCCAGGAGGUUUAAAUGUCCAUCACUAUCACAGGGAAGGAGGGCAGCAGCAGGUGGCCAAAAAGGCUACCACUUGAGCUAAGAGCUCCCAUUUUGAACCACAGAUAGGAAGCACAGAGGGUGACCUCGUAUUUGACAGUCUUUGGAAAUCUCAAAGUCUGACCCCCAGUGACACACUUCCUCCAGCAAGGCCACACCUCCAAAGCCUCCCCAAGGAGCCACCAAUGGGGACCAAGUAUUCAAAUGCCCAGACUUUUUGUUCAAAUUACCACAGCUCUCAUAUUGAAGUACACUGGUUCUAAAUGGUCCUGCUGACUCUGUUUAAAACCCAAGGCUGUUUAGUAUGCACUUCUUGUUUAUUUGUUUUUCACAAUGAAAAUACUUAGCAGCUCUGUCUUUCCUAACAUGGAACUCCCUCCCAUAGAAACCCCUUAUCAAUGCAUGGCAAGAUCUAGAGGUGUGAGGAACGAAUUGCAACUUUUUCCAAGAAUACUUUAUAAACCAGAGGCUAUCAGUUCAUUAUCAGAUGUUUUUUGUUUUUGUUUUUGUUUUGUAAAGAGAGAAGAAGGAGGAGGAGGAGAAGGACGAGAACGAGGAGAGUAAAACAGAGUUGUUUUUCUAAGUAUUUUUAUUAACAGUGAGUUCAAAUGGGUCCUAAGCCAUCACAUGUAAAUCAUGCAUGGGUAAGGAAUCUGAGAUUUUAGCUGCAUGAUAAUAACACUCUACCAUGGUGCUCCACUGUUCAGCAGUAUCAAAUGUCCUCUCUCUACAGUCAGGUCCAUAGCAUCCUGGACAAAUGUGUCCAUCUCAUCUAUGCCACUGAAAGUUUUAUUGCCAGCAAAUGGAAUGACACAAGCCUGUGGUCUUUCCUUAGAGAGAUGGCAUCAUGUGCUGAAAAGGAAUGCUGACUUCAGGAGCUGAGACCAGGAUGAUCUCAACAACAUUGUGACAGUUAUGUGAUGCAAAAGAGAGAAAUCUCUGGAAAAUGAGAAGAUGUAAUACUUGGGCACUAUCUUAGUCACUGUUCUAUUGCUGUGAGGAGACACUAUGACCAAGGCAACUUAGAAAAGAAAGCACUAAAUCGGGGCUUGCUUAGCUUUUAGAGGCUUAGUCCAUCAUCCUCAUGCCAGGAAGCAUGGCUGCAGGCAGGAAAACAUGGUGCUACAGGAGGCGCUGAGAGCUACGUCCUGAUCUGCAGACAGAAGGAGAGGGGCUUGGGGAACUGGAGCUACUUGGGCAUUUGAAACCUUGUAGCCCGUCUCCAGUGACACCCUUCUUCCAACAAGGCUACACUUCCUAAUCCUUCUCAAAUAAUACCAUUCCCUAAUGAUUAAGCAUCCAGAUAUAUGAAUUCAUGGGGACAUUGUCAAUCAAACCAUCACCGGCAGCAAAUCUAGUAGUGAGGACUAUUUGUUCCCCUUGUGUUCCACAGUAGGGUGGUGGCCUACUUUAUUACUAGAGGAAAAUUAGCUAUUUAAGAAAGAAGAGGGGUUGGGGAUUUAGCUCAGUGGUAAAGCGCUUGCCUAGCAAGCGCAAGGACCUGGGUUCGGUCCCCAGCUCCAGAAAAAAAAAAAAAAAAGAA